rnacentral:ncRNA from 1 species
ACAGGGGUGCCUUCGGGCUGAGAAACACCCUUAUGACCUGAUCUAGUUAAUACUAGCGUAGGGAGUCAGAU